rnacentral:rRNA from 1 species
CGGGGUGCAGCAGGCGCGAAAACUUUACAAUGCCGGCAACGGCGAUAAGGGAACCUCGAGUGCCAGGUUACAAAUCUGGCUGUCGUGAUGCCUAAAAAGCAUUGCAUAGCAAGGGCCGGGCAAGACCGGUGCCAGCCGCCGCGGUAACACCGGCGGCUCGAGUGGUAACCGUUAUUAUUGGGUCUAAAGGGUCUGUAGCCGGCCGGGUAAGUCUCUUGGGAAAUCUGGCAGCUUAACUGUCAGGCUUUCAGGAGAUACUGCCUGGCUCGAGGCCGGGAGAGGUGAGAGGUACUUCAGGGGUAGGGGUGAAAUCUUGUAAUCCUUGAAGGACCACCAGUGGCGAAGGCGUCUCACCAGAACGGACCUGACGGCAAGGGACGAAAGCUAGGGGCACGAACCGGAUUAGAUACCCGGGUAGUCCUAGCCGUAAACGAUACUCGCUAGGUGUCGGCCACGGUGCGACCGUGGUCGAUGCCGUAGGGAAGCCGUGAAGCGAGCCACCUGGGAAGUACGGCCGCAAGGCUGAAACUUAAAGGAAUUGGCGGGGGAGCAC